GUUCUGAGCAAGGAACUGAAACGUUAGCUUUCUUACAUGGCACAUAUUGCACUUUUACUUUCUUCUCCAACACUUAGUUUUUGAAUGAUUUAAAAAUCAUAAUCGGUCGACCUCUAACACAGAGGAUAAAUGUUCAUUCAUUAAUAUUUUAGGAUGGGGCGGGAGGAAAAACAUGAAAAGUUGUUGGUUCGAAUCCCCGAGAUGCCUAGGUGAAAAAUCUGUCAAAUCAAGUCGCCGUGUCCACGAAUGCAGGAGAGAGGGGUUUGUUGAUAUAUUAUUGAAUCCCUGAGAUGACUAGGUGAUAGAGACAGAGGGUUUGUUGAUAUAUUAUUGAAUCCCUGAGAUGACUAGGUGAUAGAGACAGAGAGGGUUUGUUGAUAUAUUAAUGAAUCCCUGAGAUGACUAGGUGAUAGAGACAGAGAGGGUUUGUUGAUAUAUUAAUGAAUCCCUGAGAUGACUAGGUGAUAGAGACAGAGGGGUUUGUUGAUAUAUUAAUGAAUCCCUGAGAUGACUAGGUGAUAGAGACAGAGGGGUUUGUUGAUAUAUUAAUGAAUCCCUGAGAUGACUAGGUGAUAGAGACAGAGAGGGUUUGUUGAUAUAUUAAUGAAUCCCUGAGAUGACUAGGUGAUAGAGACAGAGAGGGUUUGUUGAUAUAUUAAUGAAUCCCUGAGAUGACUAGGUGAUAGAGACAGAGAGGGUUUGUUGAUAUAUUAAUGAAUCCCUGAGAUGACUAGGUGAUAGAGACAGAGAGGGUUUGUUGAUAUAUUAAUGAAUCCCUGAGAUGACUAGGUGAUAGAGACAGAGGGGUUUGUUGAUAUAUUAAUGAAUCCCUGAGAUGACUAGGUGAUAGAGACAGAGAGGGUUUGUUGAUAUAUUAAUGAAUCCCUGAGAUGACUAGGUGAUAGAGACAGAGAGGGUUUGUUGAUAUAUUAAUGAAUCCCUGAGAUGACUAGGUGAUAGAGACAGAGGGGUUUGUUGAUAUAUUAAUGAAUCCCUGAGAUGACUAGGUGAUAGAGACAGAGAGGGUUUGUUGAUAUAUUAAUGAAUCCCUGAGAUGACUAGGUGAUAGAGACAGAGAGGGUUUGUUGAUAUAUUAAUGAAUCCCUGAGAUGACUAGGUGAUAGAGACAGAGAGGGUUUGUUGAUAUAUUAAUGAAUCCCUGAGAUGACUAGGUGAUAGAGACAGAGGGGUUUGUUGAUAUAUUAAUGAAUCCCUGAGAUGACUAGGUGAUAGAGACAGAGAGGGUUUGUUGAUAUAUUAAUGAAUCCCUGAGAU